CAGCCAAUUUUUUCCUCCACUGUAUCAUUGAAAGAGUAUUCCAUCACAAUAUCAUUCUUAUCAACAAUUUCUUUUUCUUUUCCAUGCUUAACUAUCAUCAAUUUCUUCACAGUUUCUCCUUGCAAUUGACCAUGAUGAUAAUGACAAAUAUCUUGACUUAAGUUAAACUUCCUCUCUAUACCAACUUCUGUCAAUGGAAUUGUCAGAAUAUCACACAUUAUCAUUACCACUAUUGAAUACUGACUACUGAUCAUCCUCCAUAGAUUCAGAAUAGAUUUUCCUUUGACAUUAACAGAAUCAUUAUAUAGAUAGUGGUUGAAUUCAGUGUUGCAAGCAUUUUGUUUUGUCAGAUUUUCUGAGGCAAUCAAUAAGUGCAAAUCCUUAAGCAGU
rnacentral:sRNA from 2 species